rnacentral:snRNA from 1 species
UCUUAUACAGCUCUUUCUAACAAC